rnacentral:rRNA from 1 species
AACGAACGCUGGCGGCAUGCCUAACACAUGCAAGUCGAACGAUACCUUCGGGUCUCUUGCCGCAUGGGUGCGUAACGGCUGGCGAGUUACUCAUAGGUUCGGAAUCACCCCCCGAAAGGGGUGCUAAUAUCGGAAAAGUUCUUCAGACCAAAGAUUUAUCGACUUUGGAUGGGGCCGCGUUGGAUUAGCUAUUUGGUAGGGUAAAAGCCUACCAAGGCGACGAUCCAUAGCUGGUCUGAGAGGAUGAGCAGACACACUGGGACUGGGACGCGGCCCAGACUCCUACGCGAUGGGGGAGAGGGUGAUAUAGGAAAACGGCGGAAAGGAUGAUGGAGUAAUGCCGGUAGAGUGAUGAAGGCCGUAGGGAUGGAAAGCUCUUUUACCCGGGAUGAUAAUGACAGUACCGGGAGAAUAAGCACCGGCUAACUCCGUG